GAGGACGCUUCCUUCGGGAAGCGAGCGUACACAGGUGCUGCAUGGCUGUCGUCAGCCCGUGUCGUGAGAUGUUGGGUUAAGUCCCGUAACGAGCGCAACCCUUGUCCUUAGUUACCAGCACGUUAUGGUGGGCACUCUAAGGAGACUGCCGGUGACAAACCGGAGGAAGGUGGGGAUGACGUCAAGUCAUCAUGGCCCUUACGGCCUGGGCUACACACGUGCUACAAUGGUCGGUACAAAGGGUUGCCAAGCCGCGAGGUGGAGCUAAUCCCAUAAAACCGAUCGUAGUCCGGAUCGCAGUCUGCAACUCGACUGCGUGAAGUCGGAAUCGCUAGUAAUCGUGAAAUCAGAAUGUCACGGUGAAUACGUUCCCGGGCCUU
rnacentral:rRNA from 1 species